rnacentral:rRNA from 1 species
AUUGAACGCUGGCGGCAUGCUUUACACAUGCAAGUCGAACGGUAACAGGCCUUCGGGUGCUGACGAGUGGCGAACGGGUGAGUAAUGCAUCGGCACGUGCCCAGAGGUGGGGGAUAACGCAGCGAAAGCUGUGCUAAUACCGCAUGUGAUCUGAGGAUGAAAGCGGGGGACCAGGCAGCAAUGUUUGGCCUCGCGCCUUUGGAGCGGCCGAUGUCAGAUUAGGUAGUUGGUGGGGUAAAGGCCUACCAAGCCGACGAUCUGUAGCUGGUCUGAGAGGACGAUCAGCCACACUGGGACUGAGACACGGCCCAGACUCCUACGGGAGGCAGCAGUGGGGAAUUUUGGACAAUGGGCGCAAGCCUGAUCCAGCAAUGCCGCGUGCGGGAAGAAGGCCUUCGGGUUGUAAACCGCUUUUGUACGGAACGAAAAGGCUCUGGCUAAUACCUGGGGCUGAUGACGGUACCGUAAGAAUAAGCACCGGCUAACUACGUG